UUAGAGUUUGCUCUUUCAUGGCAUAUAUANUAUAUACUAUAAUUGAGAUACAAAUUAAUCUUGGGUGUUUCUUCUGAAACUUUUUUAGGACAAUUACAAUGGGAUUAAAAAAAUAGUUUAGGAUUUACUUUUUCAAACAAUUUUCACUCAGAAAUAGUAGUAAAUUUCACACACACACACACACACACACACACACACACAAACACACAAAUACACACCCAUACACAAAAACACACACACAAACACACCCACACACAAACGCAAGUAAAAUACUAAACAUAAAAUUUUGAAGUAGAAAGACUGAAAUUAGUAGUAAUUACUUGUAAAAUUUAAUUUAUUGACAACUUUGAAAAGAAAAUUAUAUAUUUAUUGCAAAUUCCGAUGCAAAUUCCCAGUAUUCAAGUAUUGUGUUGUGAUUCUUUUGGAGCUUCAUAUUCUUCUAACUAACAUAUUUCUGAACAUCUGCUUGUGUUUUCUAAGCAAAUCAUACAGAUUUGGGACCACAUGAGGGUGAGUAAAUAAUGACUGUGUAUUUGUUUUUGGGUGAGUGAUACCUAUUAGCACAGCCUCCAUUCAGUCUCAUUGCUGUCUAGACAAAAUGACUGCGUUAUUCCCCAGAUUUUCUGUGCUUCUCCAGCUUAUCUGCUGAUCAAACCCGAGGACGAGCAGAUGUCACGAAUCGCCUCCGGAUCAAAUAAAAACCUGCAAAUAUUUUCUGCCUCCAAAGCCGAGCAUCUUUAAAGGAACCUGGAGGACCCCCACAAGCAAAGACUACAGAAUACCCUUAAAGGGACUUUGCCACAAGGUGCGUUUCUUCGGAAUCAAAGAGCGAUCCUGUUUGAUUUAAACACCUGGCUUUCUGCUUCAAGAGCCUAAAUGAGGAC
ensembl:lncRNA